UUGGAAACUGAUUUAUUUGAGUGCGAUAGAGGCAAGUGGAACUCCAUGUGUAGCGGUGAAAUGCGUAAAUAUGUGGAAGAACACCAGUGGCGAAAGCGGCUUGCUAGAUCGUAACUGACGUUGAGGCUCGAAAGUAUGGGUAGCAAACGGGAUUAGAUACCCCGGUAGUCCAUACCGUAAACGAUGGGUGCUAGUUGUUAAGAGGUUUCCGCCUCCUAGUGACGUAGCAAACGCAUUAAGCACCCCGCCUGAGGAGUACGGCCGCAAGGCUAAAACUUAAAGGAAUUGACGGGGACCCGCACAAGCGG
rnacentral:rRNA from 1 species